GAAUUUUAGUUAGCUAAUGAAUAUGUGGUUUUUUUCCAGACAAAUUUCAUUUUUUUACUGACCCGGUUUUUUUUCAUUUUAUUAAUGUAUUUUCAUCAUUAUCAUUUGAGAUAUGAUCUUGAUAUCUAAUCUCUUUUUCAAUAUAAAGAGAUUAGAUAUAAAGAGGUGACAAGAGAAAAAAGAUAGGGAUCUCAUUAUAAUAAAAAAAGAAGAAGAUUUCAUCUCUUGUCAACAUUGAUCAACCAUUUUUUAUAAAGAAUUGGAUUUUCAUGACAGUUUUCAAGCAUUCACAUACUUGAUAGUAGUGUGAAACAGAGUAGAAGUGGCCUUUUUAGAGAAGUAGGAAGCGAGUUUAGUGGCAAAUCCAAAAGUACAGAACAAAGGUUUGUUGACUGUUGUGUUAUCCAAUUUUGCAAAUUGCACCCAUAAAUUUGUAUACUAGACUUUAAUUGUAGCUGUUCUUAGAUCCUAGAUUCCAGCAAAACCAUUGACAAUGUCUUGAGAGACUUAGUUACAUAAUUGCUUUCUAUACCUUCUGCAUUGAUCAGCGCCAUUUUUUGUUACUCGGCCAUAGCUCUUAAGGGAACAACGUUGAUCCAAUUUGUAGACUUCCCAUGGAUCUUGUGACUAUGAAGUUUCCCUUCUCUUAUCUCCCCUAUGCAAACUUCUUGACAUACAUUAUUGUAUCUCCUCCUGUAACAACACAAGUGCUUUAUUGCAGCUCUUGUUCUAACAAACACUUUCUCAGAUACCGCUGCGUACGAAGCAGAAAUGUUCACCAAAACAGAAGAGAAAGCAAAGUAAGAAUCUUCAAAGGAGUAUU